AGUAGGGCGGGACACGUGUUAUCCUGUCUGAAUAUGGGGGGACCAUCCUCCAAGGCUAAAUACUCCUGACUGACCGAUAGUGAACCAGUACCGUGAGGGAAAGGCGAAAAGAACCCCUGUGAGGGGAGUGAAAUAGAACCUGAAACCGUGUACGUACAAGCAGUAGGAGCACCUUCGUGGUGUGACUGCGUACCUUUUGUAUAAUGGGUCAGCGACUUAUAUUCAGUGGCAAGGUUAACCAUCUAGGGGAGCCGUAGGGAAACCGAGUCUUAACUGGGCGCCAUAGUCUCUGGAUAUAGACCCGAAACCGAGUGAUCUAGCCAUGGGCAGGUUGAAGGUUGAGUAACAUCAACUGGAGGACCGAACCGACUAAUGUUGAAAAAUUAGCGGAUGACUUGUGGCUAGGGGUGAAAGGCCAAUCAAACUCGGAGAUAGCUGGUUCUCCCCGAAAGCUAUUUAGGUAGCGCCUCGGACGAAUACUACUGGGGGUAGAGCACUGUUAAGGCUAGGGGGUCAUCCCGACUUACCAACCCUUUGCAAACUCCGAAUACCAGUAAGUACUAUCCGGGAGACACACGGCGGGUGCUAACGUCCGUCGUGGAGAGGGAAACAACCCAGACCGC
rnacentral:rRNA from 1 species